GACCGUGUAGCUCAGUUGGAAGAGCAUUCGGCUAGUAUUCCAAAGGUCGUAGGUUCUAUUCUACCGUGGUCA